rnacentral:rRNA from 1 species
CCUACGGGAGGCAGCAGUGAGGAAUAUUGGUCAAUGGACGAGAGUCUGAACCAGCCAAGUAGCGUGAAGGAUGACUGCCCUCUGGGUUGUAAACUUCUUUUAUAUGGGAAUAAAACGUUCCACGUGUGGGAUUUUGUAUGUACCAUAUGAAUACGGAUCGGCUAACUCCGUGCCAGCAGCCGCGGUAAUACGGAGGAUCCGAGCGUUAUCCGGAUUUAUUGGGUUUAAAGGGGGCGUAGGUGGAUUGUUAAGUCAGUUGUGAAAGUUUGCGGCUCAACCGUAAAAUUGCAGUUGAAACUGGCAGUCUUGAGUACAGUAGAGGUGGGCGGAAUUCGUGGUGUAGCGGUGAAAUGCUUAGAUAUCACGAAGAACUCCGAUUGCGAAGGCAGUUCACUGGACUGCAACUGACACUGAGGCUCGAAAGUGUGGGUAUCAAACAGGAUUAGAUACCCUUGUAGUC